UGCAGAGGUCUCAAGCGUUGUUCGGAUUCAUUGGGCGUAAAGGGUGCGUAGGCGGCGCGGUAAGUCGGGUGUGAAAUCUUGGAGCUUAACUCCGAAACUGCAUUCGAUACUGCCGUGCUUGAGGACUGGAGAGGAGACUGGAAUUUACGGUGUAGCGGUGAAAUGCGCAGAUAUCAGGAGGAACACCAAUGGCGAAGGCAGCACUCUGGGACGUGACUGACGCUGAGACGCGAAAGCGUGGGGAGCAAACAGG
rnacentral:rRNA from 1 species